rnacentral:rRNA from 1 species
AUUGAACGCUGGCGGCAUCCCUUACACAUGCAAGUCGAACGGUAACAGGUCUUCGGAUGCUGACGAGUGGCGAACGGGUGAGUAAUACAUCGGAACGUGCCUAGUAGCGGGGGAUAACUACUCGAAAGAGUGGCUAAUACCGCAUGAGCUCUACGGAUGAAAGCAGGGGAUCGCAAGACCUUGCACUACCAGAGCGGCCGGUGGCAGAUUAGGUAGUUGGUGGGAUAAAAGCUUACCAAGGCGACGAUCUGUAGCUGGUCUGAGAGGACGAUCAGCCACACUGGGACUGAGACACGGCCCAGACUCCUACGGGAGGCAGCAGUGGGGAAUUUCGGACAAUGGGCGAAAGCCUGAUCCAGCAAUGCCGCGUGCAGGAUGAAGGCCUUCAGGUUGUAAACUGCUUUUGUGCGGAACGAAAAGCCCCGGGUUAAUACCCUGGGGUCAUGACGGUACCGUAAGAAUAAGCACCGGCUAACUACGUGCCAGCAGCCGCCGUAA